rnacentral:sRNA from 1 species
CAACAACUGAAAGGAGGUGAUCCAGUGUCUAUAAAGGGAUUGGAGAGAGGUGUCGGAACAGUCAGGGAGGUUCGUGUCUGAGGCAGCCCUUGGGCAUGUAAACACCCGGAUUGGCAAGGACGCUUUCGCGGUGUCCAGGGUCUAACCGACCUCGCCUCCGAAAUCUUUAGAAGGGCCGUUCCACGAGGUUGGGGCGGCCC